rnacentral:rRNA from 1 species
AGCGAACGCUGGCGGCAGGCUUAACACAUGCAAGUCGAGCGGGCGUAGCAAUACGUCAGCGGCAGACGGGUGAGUAACGCGUGGGAACAUACCUUUUGGUUCGGAACAACACAGGGAAACUUGUGCUAAUACCGGAUAAGCCCUUACGGGGAAAGAUUUAUCGCCGAAAGAUUGGCCCGCGUCUGAUUAGCUAGUUGGUGAGGUAACGGCUCACCAAGGCGACGAUCAGUAGCNGGUCUGAGAGGAUGAUCAGCCACAUUGGGACUGAGACACGGCCCAAACUCCUACGGGAGGCAGCAGUGGGAAUAUUGGACAAUGGGCGCAAGCCUGAUCCAGCCAUGCCGCGUGAGUGAUGAAGGCCCUAGGGUUGUAAAGCUCUUUUGUGCGGGAAGAUAAUGACGGUACCGCAAGAAUAAGCCCCGGCUAACUUCGUGCCAGCCACCGCCGUAAU